GAUAAACGCUGGCGGCGCACAUAAGACAUGCAAGUUGAACGGACUUAAUCGAAAUAUUUAUAUUUUGAAGCGGUUAGUGGCGGACUGGUGAGUAACGCGUAAGGAACCUGCCUAUUAGAGGGGAAUAACAGUGAGAAAUCAUUGCUAAUACCGCAUAUGCCAUAGAUAUCACAUGAUAACAGUGGGAAAGGAGCAAUCCGCUAAUAGAUGGCCUUGCGUCUGAUUAGAUAGUUGGUGGGGUAACGGCCUACCAAGUCGACGAUCAGUAGUCGGACUGAGAGGUUGAACGGCCACAUUGGGACUGAGAGACGGCCCAGACUCCUACGGGAGGCAGCAGUCGGGAAUAUUGCGCAAUGAAGGAAACUCUGACGCAGUGACGCCGCGUAUAGGAAGAAGGUUUUCGGAUUGUAAACUAUUGUCGUUAGGGAAGAGAAAGGACAGUACCUAAGGAGGAAGCUCCGGCUAACUACGUG
rnacentral:rRNA from 1 species